UACGUAGGGGGCAAGCGUUGUCCGGAAUCAUUGGGCGUAAAGAGCGUGUAGGCGGUUCGGUAAGUCGGCUGUGAAAGUCCAGGGCUCAACCCUGGGAUGCCGGUCGAUACUGCCGGACUAGAGUUCGGAAGAGGCGAGUGGAAUUCCCGGUGUAGCGGUGAAAUGCGCAGAUAUCGAGAGGAACACCUGCGGCGAAGGCGGGUUGCUGGGCUGACACUGACGCUGAUGCGCGAAAGCCAGGGGAGCGAACGGG
rnacentral:rRNA from 1 species